rnacentral:rRNA from 1 species
CUACGGGCCGCAGCAGUGAGGAAUAUUGCACAGUGGGGGGAACCCUGAUGCAGCAACGCCGCGUGGAGGAUGACGCAUUUCGGUGUGUAAACUCCUUUUAUAUGUCAAGAAAAUGACGGUAGCAUAUGAAUAAGCACCGGCUAACUCCGUGCCAGCAGCCGCGGUAAUACGGAGGGUGCAAGCGUUACUCGGAAUCACUGGGCGUAAAGGACGCGUAGGCGGGUUGGAAAGUCAGGUGUGAAAUCCUACAGCUUAACUGUAGAACUGCACUUGAAACUUCUAAUCUAGAGUAUGGGAGGGGGAGAUGGAAUUAGUGGUGUAGGGGUAAAAUCCGUAGAUAUCACUAGGAAUACCUAAAGCGAAGGCGAUCUCCUGGAACAUUACUGACGCUAAGGCGUGAAAGCGUGGGGAGCAAACAGGAUUAGAUACCCUUGUAGUC